GUGGUGUGAAAGGUAGGGAGAGCUCACUAAAUAUUAUCUGGGUACAAGUUGUUCUCCUCCCCAGUGAAACAUAAGUCAAGGUUUUUAAUAAUACAAAAGGUAAAUUAUAGAGUAUAAGGGCUAUGUGUAUAAAUUUUCC